UCCUGAAGACCUUGAUUAGCUUGUUCAGGUGUGUUUGAUUAGGGUUAGAGCUAACCUCUGCAGGACAGCGGCACUCCAGGACCGACGUUGCCUAUCCCUGCGCUAGAAUGAGAUGGUCUAGUGAGUGCAGGGGCGCCAUAAUAGGUGGGAAGUCUGGACGAUUCCAAGGGCCCAGUGAGGGAGAGGGUGCCCAGAACAUGAUUUUAACAGAGAGGGACACCUCUAUGCCUACUAAGGAUCCUUCACAUUGAGACAUGCUUUGAUGAAACUUGAUGACAUGACAGCUUAGAUAUGCAGCCUUAUAAGGAAGUGUCCUUUCAUUUUGGAAGCACCCACUGUCUUGUCACCCUUAUGGAACCACUCCUUGUGCUUGUAAACGAUCCUCAAGUGAUUUUAUCUUCACCACUGUCUCCAGAGAUCUCAUAUACUCUCCCUUUAAGUCUCCAGUGAUCUCUUAUACUUACCUCUGAGUCUCCAGCGAUCUCCUUUGAGUCUCCAGCGAUCUUCUAUACUCACUGCGGUCUCCAGAGAUCUCCUAUACUCACCGCUGUCUCCAGAGAUCUCCUAUACUCACUGGUGAAUCUCCAGAGAUCUCCUAUACUCACCGCUGAGUCUCCAGAGAUCUCCUAUACUCACACCGCUGUCUCCAGAGAUCUCCUAUACUCACCGCUGAGUCUCCAGAGAUCUCCUAUACUCACACCGCUGUCUCCAGAGAUCUCCUAUACUCACACCGCUGUCUCCAGAGAUCUCCUAUACUCACACCGCUGUCUCCAGAGAUCUCCUAUACUCACCGCUGAGUCUCCAGAGAUCUCUAUACUCACACCGCUGUCUCCAGAGAUCUUCUAUACUCACCGCUGUGUCUCCAGCGAUCUCCUAUACUCACCGCUCGAUCUCCAGCGAUCUCCUAUACUCACCGCUGAGUCUCCAGCGUUCUCCUAUACUCACCGCUGAGUCUCCAGCGAUCUCCUAUACUCACCGCUGAGUCUCCAGCGAUCUCCUAUACUCACCGCUGAGUCUCCAGCGAUCUCCUAUACUCUCCUUUAAGUCUCCAGAGAUCUCCUAUACUCACCGCUGUCUCAAGCGAUCUUCUAUACUCACUGCUGAGUCUCCAGCGUUCUCCUAUACUCACCGCAGAGUCACAGGAGGAUCACAAUGCUGAAAAAGCAUUUUCAGCAACAACAUUCGGAUUUGAAAUCAAAAUAACAGAUAAAUGUUGUUUGUGUGAAAGCAAAAUGAGUCCGUGCUGCUUCUGCACCACAUACGUAAAGCACAUGGACUGCAUACGCACUGCAAACGGCGUACAGUAUGUAUGAAACAAGCAUCAGGCUGGAGGGAACACACAGCACAAACACACAAGAACACAACAAAACACCACUCAAGACCACAAAACAACACCAAUUUAAACAAAUAAGUAAAGGAAAUAUCUGAGUUUAGACUAACAGUAUCAAAUCCAAGCAGUAACAAGAAUACAAAACUAGAAACAAGACUGAUGAACAACUAAAGAAAACAUUACAAAUAUAAGCAAGACAACUGAAGAACAAAACAAAAAUGAGAAAUCAAGAGCAAAAACUAUAGCAAGGAUACACAAUCACAGCAAAUAAAAGGGCAAGACUGGAAUACAAAGCAGCAAGUCAGUAACUGUCUCUGGCACAAGAUGAACCAGCCAACACAAGAGGAAAA
ensembl:lncRNA